rnacentral:rRNA from 1 species
AUUUGCAAGUUCGAACGCACAGCGAAAGGUGCUUGCACCUUCUCAAGUGAGUGGCGAACGGGUGAGUAACACGUGGACAACCUGCCUCAAGGCUGGGGAUAACAUUUGGAAACAGAUGCUAAUACCGAAUAAAACUUAGUGUCGCAUGACACAAAGUUAAAAGGCGCUUCGGCGUCACCUAGAGAUGGAUCCGCGGUGCAUUAGUUAGUUGGUGGGGUAAAGGCCUACCAAGACAAUGAUGCAUAGCCGAGUUGAGAGACUGAUCGGCCACAUUGGGACUGAGACACGGCCCAAACUCCUACGGGAGGCUGCAGUAGGGAAUCUUCCACAAUGGGCGAAAGCCUGAUGGAGCAACGCCGCGUGUGUGAUGAAGGCUUUCGGGUCGUAAAGCACUGUUGUAUGGGAAGAACAGCUAGAAUAGGAAAUGAUUUUAGUUUGACGGUACCAUACCAGAAAGGGACGGCUAAAUACGUGCCAGCAGCCGCGGUAAUACGUAUGUCCCGAGCGUUAUCCGGAUUUAUUGGGCGUAAAGCGAGCGCAGACGGUUUAUUAAGUCUGAUGUGAAAGCCCGGAGCUCAACUCCGGAAUGGCAUUGGAAACUGGUUAACUUGAGUGCAGUAGAGGUAAGUGGAACUCCAUGUGUAGCGGUGGAAUGCGUAGAUAUAUGGAAGAACACCAGUGGCGAAGGCGGCUUACUGGACUGCAACUGACGUUGAGGCUCGAAAGUGUGGGUAGCAAACAGGAUUAGAUACCCUGGUAGUCCACACCGUAAACGAUGAACACUAGGUGUUAGGAGGUUUCCGCCUCUUAGUGCCGAAGCUAACGCAUUAAGUGUUCCGCCUGGGGAGUACGACCGCAAGGUUGAAACUCAAAGGAAUUGACGGGGACCCGCACAAGCGGUGGAGCAUGUGGUUUAAUUCGAAGCAACGCGAAGAACCUUACCAGGUCUUGACAUCCUUUGAAGCUUUUAGAAGAUAGAAUUGUUUCUUCGGAGACAAAGUGACAGGUGGUGCAUGGUCGUCGUCAGCUCGUGUCAAUGUUGGGUUAAGUCCCGCACCCAACCCUUAUUGUUAUUUGC